rnacentral:snRNA from 1 species
AUACCUUUCUCGGCCUUUUGGCUAAGAUCAAGUGUAGUAUCUGUUCUUAUCAGUUUAAUAUCUGAUACGUGAAUCAAUGAUUCACACGAUAUUAAAUUAAUUUUUUUAAGGGGCAAGUCCAUCACAAUAGCUUGCUAUUGGGGCUUGCAUGUGUCAUCCUUGUGUUGCACUAUUACAAGGUUUGGCGCACCCUAC